rnacentral:rRNA from 1 species
UGGGGGAUAUUGCGCAAUGGGGGCAACCCUGACGCAGCAACGCCGCGUGAAGGAUGAAGGUUUUCGGAUUGUAAACUUCUUUUAUUAAGGACGAAACUUGACGGUACUUAAUGAAUAAGCUCCGGCUAACUACGUGCCAGCAGCCGCGGUAAUACGUAGGGAGCAAGCGUUGUCCGGAUUUACUGGGUGUAAAGGGUGCGUAGGCGGCUUUGCAAGUCAGAUGUGAAAUCUAUGGGCUCAACCCAUAAACUGCAUUUGAAACUGUAGAGCUUGAGUGAAGUAGAGGCAGGCGGAAUUCCCCGUGUAGCGGUGAAAUGCGUAGAGAUGGGGAGGAACACCAGUGGCGAAGGCGGCCUGCUGGGCUUUAACUGACGCUGGGGCACGAAAGCGUGGGUAGCAAACAGGAUUAGAUACCCUGGUAGUCCACGCUGUAAACGAUGAUUACUAGGUGUGGGGGGUCUGACCCCUUCCGUGCCGGAGUUAACACAAUAAGUAAUCCACCUGGGGAGUACGGCCGCAAGGUUGAAACUCAAAGGAAUUGACGGGGGCCCGCACAAGCAGUGGAGUAUGUGGUUUAAUUCGAAGCAACGCGAAGAACCUUACCAGGUCUUGACAUCCAACUAACGAAGUAGAGAUACAUUAGGUGCCCUUCGGGGAAAGCUGAGACAGGUGGUGCAUGGUUGUCGUCAGCUCGUGUCGUGAGAUGUUGGGUUAAGUCCCGCAACGAGCGCAACCCUUGCUAUUAGUUGCUACGCAAGAGCACUCUAAUAGGACUGCCGUUGACAAAACGGAGGAAGGUGGGGACGACGUCAAAUCAUCAUGCCCCUUAUGACCUGGGCUACACACGUACUACAAUGGAUGUUAACAGAGGGAAGCAAGACAGCGAUGUGGAGCAAACCCCUAAAAACAUUCUCAGUUCAGAUUGCAGGCUGCAACCCGCCUGCAUGAAGAUGGAAUUGCUAGUAAUCGCGGAUCAGCAUGCCGCGGUGAAUACGUUCCC